rnacentral:rRNA from 1 species
UUAAGCAUAUCAAUAAGCGGAGGAAAAGAAAACUAACAAGGAUUCCCCUAGUAACGGCGAGUGAACCGGGAAGAGCUCAAAUUUGAAAUCUGGCGUCCUCAGGGCGUCCGAGUUGUAAUCUAUAGAGGCGUUUUCCGUGCCGGACCGUGUCCAAGUCCCUUGGAACAGGGUAUCAAAGAGGGUGACAAUCCCGUACUUGACACGAUGACCGGUGCUCUGUGAUACGUCUUCUACGAGUCGAGUUGUUUGGGAAUGCAGCUCAAAAUGGGUGGUGAGUUCCAUCUAAAGCUAAAUAUUGGCGAGAGACCGAUAGCGAACAAGUACCGUGAGGGAAAGAUGAAAAGCACUUUGGAAAGAGAGUUAAACAGUACGUGAAAUUGUUGAAAGGGAAACGAUUGAAGUCAGUCGUGACUGUUGGGCUCAGCCAGCUCUGCUGGUGUAUUCCCUUCAGUCGGGUCAACAUCAGUUUUGACCGGUGGAUAAUGGCAGCAGGAAUGUGGCACCCUCGGGUGUGUUAUAGCCUGUCGUCGCAUACAUCGGUUGAGACUGAGGAACGCAGCUCGCCUUUAUGGCCGGGGUUCGCCCACGUCCGA